rnacentral:rRNA from 1 species
GCGUGCUUAACACAUGCAAGUCGAACGGUGAACACGGAGCUUGCUCUGUGGGAUCAGUGGCGAACGGGUGAGUAACACGUGAGCAACCUGCCCCUGACUCUGGGAUAAGCGCUGGAAACGGCGUCUAAUACUGGAUAUGUGACGUGACCGCAUGGUCUGCGUUUGGAAAGAUUUUUCGGUUGGGGAGGGGCUCGCGGCCUAUCAGCUUGUUGGUGAGGUAAUGGCUCACCAAGGCGUCGACGGGUAGCCGGCCUGAGAGGGUGACCGGCCACACUGGGACUGAGACACGGCCCAGACUCCUACGGGAGGCAGCAGUGGGGAAUAUUGCACAAUGGGCGAAAGCCUGAUGCAGCAACGCCGCGUGAGGGAUGACGGCCUUCGGGUUGUAAACCUCUUUUAGCAGGGAAGAAGCGAAAGUGACGGUACCUGCAGAAAAAGCGCCGGCUAACUACGUGCCAGCAGCCGCGGUAAUACGUAGGGCGCAAGCGUUAUCCGGAAUUAUUGGGCGUAAAGAGCUCGUAGGCGGUUUGUCGCGUCUGCUGUGAAAUCCCGAGGCUCAACCUCGGGCCUGCAGUGGGUACGGGCAGACUAGAGUGCGGUAGGGGAGAUUGGAAUUCCUGGUGUAGCGGUGGAAUGCGCAGAUAUCAGGAGGAACACCGAUGGCGAAGGCAGAUCUCUGGGCCGUAACUGACGCUGAGGAGCGAAAGGGUGGGGAGCAAACAGGCUUAGAUACCCUGGUAGUCCACCCCGUAAACGUUGGGAACUAGUUGUGGGGUCCAUUCCACGGAUUCCGUGACGCAGCUAACGCAUUAAGUUCCCCGCCUGGGGAGUACGGCCGCAAGGCUAAAACUCAAAGGAAUUGACGGGGACCCGCACAA